rnacentral:rRNA from 1 species
CCUACGUGAGGCAGCAGUGGGGAAUAUUGCGCACUGGGCGAAAGCCUGACGCAGCGACGCCGCGUGAGGGAUGAAGGUCUUCGGAUCGUAAACCUCUGUCAGCAGGGAAGAACGGUCACUGUGCUAAUCAGCAGUGAAUUGACGGUACCUGCAAAGGAAGCACCGGCUAACUCCGUGCCAGCAGACGCGGUAAUACGGAGGGUGCGAGCGUUAAUCGGAAUUACUGGGCGUAAAGCGCUCGUAGGCGGGAUGUCAAGUCAAGGGUGAAAUCCCCGCGCUCAACGUGGGAACUGCCUUUGAAACUGGCAAACUGGAGUGUGUGAGAGGAUAGUGGAAUUCCAGGUGUAGGAGUGAAAUCCGUAGAUAUCUGGAGGAACAUCAGUGGCGAAGGCGACUAUCUGGCACAUAACUGACGCUGAGGAGCGAAAGCGUGGGUAGCAAACAGGAUUAGAUACCCUGGUAGUC